UACGUAGGGUCCGAGCGUUGUCCGGAAUUACUGGGCGUAAAGAGCUCGUAGGUGGUUUGUCGCGUUGUUCGUGAAAACUCACAGCUCAACUGUGGGCGUGCGGGCGAUACGGGCAGACUGGAGUACUGCAGGGGGAGACUGGAAUUCCUGGUGUAGCGGCGGAAUGCGCAGAUAUCAGGAGGAACACCGGUGGCGAAGGCGGCUCUCUGGUACGUGACUGACGCUGAGACGCGAAAGCGUGGGGGAGCAAACAGG
rnacentral:rRNA from 1 species